rnacentral:rRNA from 1 species
UACGUAGGGGGCUAGCGUUGUCCGGAAUCAUUGGGCGUAAAGAGCGUGUAGGCGGCCCGGUAAGUCCGCUGUGAAAGUCGGGGGCUCAACCCUCGAAUGCCGGUGGAUACUGUCGGGCUAGAGUGCGGAAGAGGCGAGUGGAGUUCCUGGUGUAGCGGUGAAAUGCGCAGAUAUCAGGAAGAACACCCGUGGCUAAGGCGGUUCUCUAGUACGGUACUGACGCUGAGACGCGAAAGCGUGGGGAGCGAACAGG